rnacentral:rRNA from 1 species
GAUGAACGCUGGCGGCGUGCCUAAUACAUGCAAGUCGAGCGAACAGACGAGGAGCUUGCUCCUCUGACGUUAGCGGCGGACGGGUGAGUAACACGUGGAUAACCUACCUAUAAGACUGGGAUAACUUCGGGAAACCGGAGCUAAUACCGGAUAAUAUAUUGAACCGCAUGGUUCAAUAGUGAAAGACGGUUUUGCUGUCACUUAUAGAUGGAUCCGCGCCGCAUUAGCUAGUUGGUAAGGUAACGGCUUACCAAGGCAACGAUGCGUAGCCGACCUGUGAGGGUGAUCGCCCACCCUGGAACUGAGACACGGUCCAGACGCCUACGGGAGGCCGCAGUAGGGAAUCUUCCGCAAUGGGCGAAAGCUUGACGGAGCAACGCCGCGUGAGUGAUGAAGGUCUUCGGAUCGUAAAACUCUGUUAUUAGGGAAGAACAAAUGUGUAAGUAACUAUGCACGUCUUGACGGUACCUAAUCAGAAAGCCACGGCUAACUACGUG